CGCUCUGUGGAGAGGGGGCGGUGCGGCCGGGGGGCGGGGUAGUUCAGGGUGUCCAAGGAAACCGGCGCUGCCGGUCUGCCGGGGCGGGGCUAGUUCAGGGCAUCCAAGGAAAACCGGCGCUGCCCACAGCACAACAGGACCAGGCGACCAGCAAUGAGGCUUUGAUCACGCCUACGCCACCUCCAUUUGUUUGGGGUUUCCAUUGAUCUCUGCUGAUGCAGCACCUUCAUUGUAUUGGCUAGUGUGCUAGAUUGAUUAGCGUCAGAAAUUUUGUGGAUCUACUACUGCGGUAGUGCGCUCGUGGCAUCAGACAGUAUACUCGUUAUUUACUAGGAUGUGACUUGAUGGAUGUACGUUUAGUUUUGUAGACCUAGUGAUGGUACCGACAUGGGAACACUAUUCAUGAUCUUUGGGUGCGCUAGGGCGCUUUAAAAGUGACUAGUGGCAGUGCAUUUGUGCGUGUUGUUUUAGAUGUAUAUGUAAUCUGCACAACAUGAUAAAAAUUGUAUCAAAGCAAACUCAUGCUUGCCACCCUGUGCCACCUCCUUUCCCCCCCUGCUAACCACCAUCCUUAUUGGAAUUGAUUGAGUAUAAUGUGGCAUGUGGAUGUUCAUGUUCAUGUUCGUGGACCAUGUGAAUAUAAUUUGUUGGAAUUAUGAAUGAACCAGUUGGAAGAAUUAAUGACUCCCAGCUACAUGUAAAAUAUAUUGUUUCUUGCUCUUCAUUAUCCCCAAUACUGCAAACUAAGGAGCUGAACGCAGACUGUCGUCGUUGAGCUCCUUUUCCUUUUUGCCAUAAUGAUCAUAUUUCCAUAUGUUUUGUGGUUGUGUGGUCUGAGCUCUCUCAGCUACCAGUUCAGGAUUCAUAACACGGUAACAGAUGGACUCAGUGAGAUAAGGGCAGAUCACUCUCUAAUCUUUGAGCUUCUCCUGUCAAGAAGAGAUUAUGAUCAUACCAAUUUGGUGGGUGAAGCCCUUUACUUGAUUGCUCCCUAUGCAGGACCCCUUUACAUUCCUUUGUAGUUUUUAGGUUCCAGCUAACUAAUACAUCAGAACUAACAAAUCCAUCAGAGCUCUUAAGACUUACUUUAGAUAGCAAGAUGUGACAUGCUAAUAAUACUUGGAGUUCCUUUAACAACCGUCUGACAGACUAGGAUUCUUACACAUCUAUUCCGGCAGGGGUGAUGCUUGUACGUUUUCUAACAAUUUUGAUGCCUCUGUUUUGGCUUUCUGACUGAUCAGAUCCUGGUAUUUUUUAAAAUCUUUAAAACAGGAGUUACCCAGGAUACAUAUUUAAACUACUGUAACAGGAUGAAGUAUCCAUCCCAGUGACAUCCUGCGUGGACUCUGGAAGGCAAUGAUCCUUCCCAAGCAAAACAGUAAACAUAUAUACAAGAGAGAAGAGGAAAGACAAGUUUCAAUCUUGGAUGCAUGUGCUUCAGCCCAUUAUUGAUGUCUGAAACGUGUCCUUGGAUGACAUGAAAAGGUGAUAUCCCUGGGAGUAGAAAAAUAGGAUGUUUCUCGAAGUGGCUGGCAGCUGAGAUGAGGAUAUGGCAAAAUGCUGAUCGUCGUUACCGAUAGAGACAGGAAUAGCAAAAUGAAGAGAUGAACACGUUUGUGACCUCUGAUUGCAAGCGUAAGGUGGCAAGUGGAUUGUGCGCAGAGGUCCAACAAGGGAAUUCUCUUGGAGUGGGGGGUUAAAGUGGCUAAUCUUAAUGUGCAUCUGAUCCUCUCUCGGGCCUGCGAUAGCGAGAUUCAAAUUAAAGUAUGACACCUCCUCGAUAAUGUUCCUGUUUCGCCGCUUUAUCCAUGAAAAAGCAAUGCCUCCUAUCUACCACCCAAGAAAGCCUUUGCAAGUGAAAUUUCCAGCAUGGGAGAUUCUCCUGUGUGGGGCUGGUAAAAUAAUUUGGUUUGGUUCUGGUCUGUUUCCGGCUAGGCACACUGGUGUCAUAAUCGAAAUGUCACAUGAAGACUGGCAGGUGCUUCUGAAUCAACUCCACUGUUCAGUCUGUGGCCCGGGAAGAACUGCUAGCUGCUCUUUGGAGAGAGGGGGAGAGGGUGCGAGAGCAUGAAAAUUCGACUGUGCACGCAUGUAUCGUUGGUAAAAAUUCCUUUUGUCGCGACUUGUGUGUUUGCAAACAGUAAAGUGAUUGUGCCAGUUCUGGAGCAUGAAUUUUAUAUGUAUGGCAUGAGGACGAAAAUCAUUUGGUCGCAGAAAUGGACCAGCAUAGGGUUUGAGGGUGGGCGGCUAAUUUGUCUGUGCAAAAGCAUGGUCCUGAGAUUUAUUUCUAGUUUUUAAUGUGUCAUUCUGUUGGCCCAUAUGCACUCACUGAAAGGUCAAUUGCAAGUUUGCAACCUACUACUAACAAAGAUGUAACAAGGAUGUGCUGAGGCUGCUCCUCUUUCGAUCGGCUU